rnacentral:lncRNA from 1 species
GAACCAGUGAGCUGAAACCCAUUGCCAACAAAACAGUAUUUAUCAAGGUGGCAAGGUACGCUAUUUCCCCGAGAGACUGCUUAAGCAGACAGAGUUUAUCAAGAUGUUUUGGUGUGAAGAUUGAGAGACAGAGCUUUUCCCAAAU